UACAGAGGGUGCGAGCGUUUGUCCGGAAUCACUGGGCGUAAAGGGCGCGUAGGCGGCUCAGUAAGGUUGCGGUGAAAGCCCGGGGCUCAACCCCGGGUCGGCCGUGGCAACUGCUGGGCUGGAGCACUGUAGAGGCAGGUGGAAUUCCGGGUGUAGCGGUGGAAUGCGUAGAGAUCCGGAAGAACACCGGUGGCGAAGGCGGUGGUCUGGGGCCGGCACUGACGCUGAGGAGCGAAAGCGUGGGGUAGCAAACAGGA
rnacentral:rRNA from 1 species